rnacentral:piRNA from 1 species
UCCAGAAAGAAAGAUCCUUAUGCAACCCC